CCGAGCUCGUGCCCCCAGGGGUAGACCUCCAUCCGUGCCUAUACAACAGUGUUGCUUUGGCGGUUGCCCCCAACCGCCAGAGGCCCAAACCCUGAGAAUUAGUGUCGUCCGAGUACCAUAUAAUAGUUA
rnacentral:misc_RNA from 1 species